GCUCUUUCUUUUAGGCAAAACGGGUCUUCCACAGCGUUAUUUGGUGGAUUUCAUUUUAAUCUAGAAUUCUGUGGCUAACGCUUUUCUGAGACCUAGUCAAAAGCUCUACUUGGAGAAGCCAUGACCAUAAGGUUGGCCCGUACCACCUCCGAGCACGGGGCCAAUGGUCGCGUCCACAAGGUGGGAAAGGUUCCGCGCCAAAGCUGAGUGGGAGAUUCCGAGUGCCGUGGGCCAUCGGCCACGUGAUUCCGCGCUGUUUAAAAAAGCGGACCCCGCGCGGACUGUGCCAAUCUGGUGACGGCUGGAAUUUUACGUGUGCACCCCCCCCCCCGCCGCUGCCCCUUUGUUAUCGCUUUUCCUAGGAACGUUUAGUCUUUGCACGCCCCAAGCUGGUUCCGAACUGCCCACUCUGAAGAUAGCCCCGAAGGGACUUGUCAAUGCUCGAACAUUUGUUUUAGUAAUGUGGUAAUUAAUACCCCUGGGAGCUGUUUCUGUUCUGCCAUCUGCUAUAAAUCUAGGCAGAUCUGUACAAGUGCAACAAUGAGAUUUAGGUGGAGAGCAGUGGCUCAGUCAUGUUCACUGCAGCAUUGAACUCCUGGGUUCAAGCCAUCCUCCUGCCUCAGCCUGCAUCAGAGUAGCCAUCCUCCUGUCUCAACCUACAGGCUGUGGGCACCAAGCCCAGAUGGGGUUUCACCAUGUUGGCCAGGCUGGUCUAGAACUCCUGACCUCAAGCAAUCCACCUGCCUCGGCCUCCCAAAGUGCUGGGAUUACAGGCGUGAGCCACUGCGCCCAGCUGAGAAGAAACAACUUGCUGAAACUCCCUUCACUUGUGAUAUUAAAAAACUGACUGAAAUUGGUUGGAACCAAUAUAACCAACUGGAGUUUGUGCAGAACGAUUUGCUGACACUACAGCCUGAGUUUCUAGUGCAUGGUUCAUACAAACUCCCCAUGAAUUUGACAUAUGAUCCAUGUGGUGACAUGAAGAGGUAACUGCAUGCCUGAGCACUUUCUAGACCUCUCCUUUCCUUCUGCCAAUCACCUACUAAUCCCAGAAUCCACCCUCUAAUUUUUUCUAAUAAAAUUACUACCUCAAACUUAGCA
rnacentral:lncRNA from 13 species